CCUACGGGAGGCUGCAGUGGGGAAUAUUGGGCAAUGGGCGCAAGCCUGACCCAGCAACGCCGCGUGAAGGAAGAAGGCUUUCGGGUUGUAAACCUCUUUUGUCAGGGAAGAGUAGAAGACGGUACCUGACGAAUAAGCCACGGCUAACUACGUGCCAGCAGCCGCGGUAAUACGGAGGUGGCCAGCGUUGUCCGGAUUUACUGGGUGUAAAGGGCGUGUAGCUGGGUUGACAAGUCAGAUGUGAAAUGCUGCGGCUUAACCGAAGAACUGCAUUUGAAACUGUUGAUCUUGAGUACAGGAGGGGCAGGCGGAAUUCCUGGUGUAGCGGUGAAAUGCGUAGAUAUCAGGAGGAACACCGGCGGCGAAGGCGGCCUGCUGGACUGAAACUGACGUUGAGGCUCGAAAGCGUGGGGAGCAAACAGGAUUAGAUACCCGUGUAGUC
rnacentral:rRNA from 1 species